rnacentral:rRNA from 1 species
UACGUAGGGGGCAAGCGUUGUCCGGAAUUAUUGGGCGUAAAGAGCUUGUAGGCGGUUUGUCGCGUCUGCUGUGAAAAUCCGGGGCUCAACCCCGGACUUGCAGUGGGUACGGGCAGGCUAGAGUGUGGUAGGGGAGACUGGAAUUCCUGGUGUAGCGGUGGAAUGCGCAGAUAUCAGGAGGAACACCGAUGGCGAAGGCAGAUCUCUGGGCCGUAACUGACGCUGAGGAGCGAAAGCAUGGGGAGCGAACAGG